CGGCGGCCGCCAUCUUGAAAGAGGGCAAAGACACUCCUGGCGCUCCCCGCCUCUCGACUUGCUUCAAAUGCCAGCGCCAUCUUGGAUCACGCUGCACUCCGUGCUCAACCGGCCUGUGACCACGCGUUUCUAUCUCUGGCACCGGACCCGGUCUGGAGUCUCCAAACCCAGCAGAUCCCUGCGGUGCACUCCUGCGCGGCUCCUCCCGGGGGAGGAAGGAGUAUAAUCACUUCCUUGAGAGUAGAGGAUGUUUCCGACACAUCUUAGCAUCUUGUGCCAGAAGAAUAGGGGCUUACCGUCAGGAUCAGAUGAGGAAACUGAAGCACAAGGGACACAGCUCCAGUAAGAGGUACAGCUGAAACUGAUUCGCCUUGACUGAUGAAGCAGGCUCGCUAAAUCCUACCCUCGGAUCCGGCAGCAUUUGUCUUCAAUGAACAGGUUGGGUGCUUCCUGGACAGAGAUCUGGGAUUCAUGGACCUUACAGAGAUCGCUUUGGGUGGUCUCCAGCUGGUGGCAUGGCAAGAAAGAGAAGGCUGCAGAGAUUGAACAAACAGCAUGCACUGUGGUAUCCUUUAUUUAAAAACUGUGAGCUAACUACAGUCGUAGUGUUCUCAUUUACCACUCUGAUGGCAUAAUAAACUGGGAGAACAAUAACACAAUUUCAAGACAUUAAAAACCUGUAGCAAACACACACACCACACACGGGCACACACACGACAACACACAGGUACACACAGAUUAUAGUCUAAACACAACUAAGUGAAGAAAAGCUUCAAAUGCUCUAAAUCAAAUUUUAAAAACCUUUAUUAUAAACUGUGGCAAUACUGUGGCUAUUAUGAAAAAAAUUGUUUAACUGCUUGAAAAGCAAAAAGAAAAAUACUGGCAAAUUUGAAACCAGCAGCAAAAAGCAGAUAAAAAUAGAAUGAAAGGUAACAUAAGACUAAUAUCAAAGUUCUAAAGUUGAUACUGUGUAGGGCUGCACUGAAGUCAUUUCAGAUUGGUUCUUGAGGAACUAUCAAAAAGUCCCUUGAAAUAUGAAAUUGCUGCACUUUACAAACAGUGGAAAAGAAAAAGUAUUUGGAAUGUUACACACACGCAGGGAAAUGUACUAGGUAUAUCGGUUUAUAGUCUUUGUUUAUGACCUUCAAAAAGUUUAUAAAGAAAAAUUUAAGUGCCAAUAUAGUGAAAGAAAAAGUCCUAAAGAUGCAAGUCUGAGUGCAUUUAUCAGGUCUACUGAUAUAUUUGAAGGCUGGGGGCAAGGCCUGACGCACAUUCAAGAAGAAAACAUGUGGAACCCAGAAGGUAGGUAGAGUUCCUUGGCGAGUGUUUAGAAUGGCAGGUGUGUUAAAGUCAGACUGCCCCGAAGGAGAUUCCAAAGUACGUGCAGUUCUACAGCCCUUCAUCAGCUGAAAUCUGUUUCAUAGUGGCCGAUAAAUAAUUAAGACUAACUUUUCAGCAAACUGGUUUUUCAUACAUUCAAACGCAAAAAUCUUUACCACACAUGCAGAGCUGAUAUUCUGUAACAGCACAAAUACGAAUCCUGGUUUCAGAAGAAAAGCACAUUAGCAAGGAUUUUUUUUUUCAUGGGUUCUUACAAAAAUGUCUGAAGCUGCUAGACAUCUGCAAAGAGGGGAUAAGUUUAGAUUUCCUACUGAUUUUGGAAGAAAAGAGAUUCUAUUUUCCUAAGGAAGCCAGCCAUCCACGAGCAGGGAACCGGUCUGCAGAAUCUAAGAAGCAUCAUAUCCUUAGUGCUUAAACUCAUGGCAAGUUCAGAGCCAGCCAAACUGGCAGGUGGAACAGGGGGGAGAAAUGAAAAGUUUGCAUGUCUGUAGUAUACUUUGGAAUCAAAUGGGCCUCGUAAGUUAAAAUGGCUCAACUGCUUUCAGAAUGAAGUGCUGCAGGACUAGAGGAGACGGCAUUCUCUGGAGUUAGGAGCUGGGAGAGACACAUCUCCAUCUCCAGGGACCUUCUGGGCUGAGCUGUGAGCACAGGGCCUUAUUUUUCAUGAGUGCUUUCAGUUAGGGAAUUUAUGACUUUGCCCAGAUAAAGAUUUCUUUUGGUUACUUUCUAACCUCAACAGAUCAGGCAAGUUACUGGUAAUUUCCCAAAAUGAAAUCUGGCCAUGUUAGUAUCUUAAGGUGCCAGCUAGUUCACAUUAAUGCCCAUCAGUAGCUGCUGCUGGGUACCAACUGCUGUUGCUGAACAAUCAACCCUCAAA